rnacentral:rRNA from 1 species
UACGUAGGCAGCAAGCGUUGUUCGGAAUUACUGGGCGUAAAGAGUGUGUAGGCGGUGCUCUAAGUUCGGUGUGAAAUCUCCCGGCUCAACUGGGAGGGUGCGCCGGAAACUGGGGUGCUGGAGCGCGGGAGAGGAAAGCGGAAUUCCUGGUGUAGCGGUGAAAUGCGUAGAUAUCAGGAGGAACACCGGUGGUGUAGACGGCUUACUGGACCAUAACUGACGCUGAGACACGAAAGCGUGGGUAGCAAACAGG